rnacentral:rRNA from 1 species
ACCCGCUGAAACUUAAGCAUAUCAAUAAGCGGAGGAAAAGAAACCAACAGGGAUUGCCCUAGUAACGGCGAGUGAAGCGGCAUCAGCUCAAAUUUGAAAUCUGGCUCUUUCAGAGUCCGAGUUGUAAUUUGCAGAGGGCGCUUUGGUGUCGGCAGCGGUCCAAGUUCCUUGGAACAGGACGUCACAGAGGGUGAGAAUCCCGUACGUGGUCGCUGACCUACACCGUGUAAAGCCCCUUCGACGAGUCGAGUUGUUUGGGAAUGCAGCUCUAAAUGGGAGGUAAAUUUCUUCUAAAGCUAAAUACUGGCCAGAGACCGAUAGCGCACAAGUAGAGUGAUCGAAAGAUGAAAAGCACUUUGGAAAGAGAGUCAAACAGCACGUGAAAUUGUUGAAAGGGAAGCGCUUGCAGCCAGACUUGCUUGUAGUUGCUCAUCCGGGCUUUUGCCCGGUGCACUCUUCUGCGAGCAGGCCAGCAUCAGUUUGGACGGUUGGAUAAAGGCCUCUGUCACGUACCUUCUCUCGGGAAGGCCUUAUAGGGGAGGCGUCAUGCAACCAGUCUGGACUGAGGUCCGCGCAUCUGCUAGGAUGCUGGCGUAAUGGCUGUAAGCGGCCCGUCUUGAAACACGGACCAAGGAGUCUAACAUCUAUGCGAGUGUUUGGGUGUCAAGCCCGAGCGCGUAAUGAAAGUGAACGGAGGUGGGAUCCCGCAAGGGUGCACCAUCGACCGAUCCUGAUGUCUUCGGAUGGAUUUGAGUAAGAGCAUGGCUGUUGGGACCCGAAAGAUGGUGAACUAUGCUUGAAUAGGGUGAAGCCAGAGGAAACUCUGGUGGAGGCUCGCAGCGGUUCUGACGUGCAAAUCGAUCGUCAAAUUUGGGCAUAGGGGCGAAAGACUAAUCGA